UACGGAGGGUGCGAGCGUUAAUCGGAAUUACUGGGCGUAAAGCGCACGUAGGUGGUUGAGUAAGUCUGCCGUGAAAGCCCUGGGCUUAACCGAGGAAUGGCGGUGGAGACUGCUGAGCUAGAGUGUGAGAGAGGGGGGUGGAAUUCCCGGUGUAGCGGUGAAAUGCGUAGAGAUCGGGAGGAACACCAGUGGCGCAGGCGGCCCCCUGGUUCAACACUGACGCUGAGGUGCGAAAGCGUGGGGAGCAAACAGG
rnacentral:rRNA from 1 species